AGCAUAUUUGUUUAUUUCUGCUUGGGAAAAAGAAUAACGAAAGUUUUGGAGUCAGACAACUCUGGGAUAAAUUCCAGACUGUGCCUCACAUACUGGUAGUGUAAUUUGUGGUGCGUUAACAGGACUGAGCCUCAGUUUACUCAUUUAUAAAGCCAAAGCAAUAAUGCCUACCUAUGGUGGUUGUGAAAGUUGGGAAAAGUAUGUAUGAAACCAAUACUGUGCCAGUUAAACGGAGGUUGGCAUUGGGACUAAAACUGAAGUAGUAAAGUUGGAUCUGAAUAAUGUUUGGAGGUGAACUGACUAUAAAGCUCAAGAGAGGAAGAUAAUGUGAAGAUUUAUGAAUAAGAAAUUUAUAAGAAUAACGUUAUACUGAAGGAUGAGGCAAAGUUCUGAAAUAGAAUCAAAUCAUUUGUGUAAUUCUCCUGAAGAAUGUGAAUGGAAGUACAGUGAGACCAUAUCUUGGAAGUCUCUGAAUGUCUUAUUAAAGAAUUUGGAUUUAAUUACUGCCUUUGAAAGACAAUCAUUCAAACAGCUCAUAUACCCUCUGAAGUUCCCAGCUGGAAUCAGUCUGUGCAGAAACUUUCAAGCCAUGGAGAGAGAAGCAUUUGAAGUCAUUUAUAUUUAGACAAAGCCUGUCUGGUCGCUUACAGUUAGUCACAAAUUUACAGAGUUAAAAACUGUCACCGAAAGGUUAAAGUAUCUACUGUCUUUGUGAAGUCAAACUUCUGCUGCCUCAGAAAUCCCUGGGUAUUGAAAUGGCAACAUGAAAGUAAAGAGGUGAAAAGAAAAGAAGAAAACUAAAAUCUCAAGUUAUUGGAAAAAAAAUGAGGUUAGAUUUUCAAUAAAAUCAACUCUCCUUGAAGCAAAAUGA
rnacentral:lncRNA from 1 species